rnacentral:rRNA from 1 species
UAGGGAAUCUUCGGCAAUGGACGGAAGUCUGACCGAGCAACGCCGCGUGAGUGAAGAAGGUUUUCGGAUCGUAAAGCUCUGUUGUUAGAGAAGAACGUUGGUAGGAGUGGAAAAUCUACCAAGUGACGGUAACUAACCAGAAAGGGACGGCUAACUACGUGCCAGCAGCCGCGGUAAUACGUAGGUCCCGAGCGUUGUCCGGAUUUAUUGGGCGUAAAGCGAGCGCAGGCGGUUCUUUAAGUCAGAAGUUAAAGGCAGUGGCUUAACCAUUGUACUCUUUGGAAACUGGAGGACUUGAGUGCAGAAGGGGAGAGUGUAAUUCCAUGUGUAGCGGUGAAAUGCGUAGAUAUAUGGAGGAACACCGGUGGCGAAAGCGGCUCUCUGGUCUGUAACUGACGCUGAGGCUCGAAAGCGUGGGGAGCAAACAGG